rnacentral:rRNA from 1 species
UACAGAGGGGGCAAGCGUUGUUCGGAAUUACUGGGCGUAAAGGGCGCGUAGGCGGCCUGUUAAGUCGAACGUGAAAUCCCCGGGCUCAACCCGGGAACUGCGUCUGAUACUGGAUGGCUUGGAUCCGGGAGAGGGAUGUGGAAUUCCAGGUGUAGCGGUGAAAUGCGUAGAUAUCUGGAGGAAUACCGGUGGCGAAGGCGGCAUCCUGGACCGGCAUUGACGCUGAGGAGCGAAAGCUAGGGGAGCAAACGGG